UACGUAGGGGGCAAGCGUUGUCCGGAAUCAUUGGGCGUAAAGAGCGCGUAGGCGGCCCAGUAAGUCCGCUCUGAAAGUCAGGGGCUCAACCCCUGAAUGCGGGUGGAUACUGCUGGGCUAGAGUCCGGAAGAGGCGAGUGGAAUUCCUGGUGUAGCGGUGAAAUGCGCAGAUAUCAGGAGGAACACCGAUGGCGAAGGCAGCUCGCUGGGACGGUACUGACGCUGAGGAGCGAAAGCCAGGGGAGCAAACGGG
rnacentral:rRNA from 1 species